rnacentral:lncRNA from 1 species
CAGUUAUCACUCAGAGUGGAAUUUAUUUGUGACUUGUCUCAUGAACGUGAUGGGUUUUAACACAGACCGCUUAGCAUGGACUAGAAAUUUUGACUUUGAAGGAUCACUUUCCCCUGUCAUUGCACCCAAAAAAGCAAGGCCUUCUGAGACUGGAUCUGAUGAUAAAUAGAGUCUCGCUGUAUGCCUAGGCUGGUCUCGAACUCCUGGGCUCCAGCCAUCCUCCCAUUUCAG